rnacentral:rRNA from 1 species
GAUGAACGCUGGCGGCGUGCCUAAUACAUGCAAGUCGAGCGAACGGACGAGAAGCUUGCUUCUCUGAUGUUAGCGGCGGACGGGUGAGUAACACGUGGAUAACCUACCUAUAAGACUGGGAUAACUUCGGGAAACCGGAGCUAAUACCGGAUAAUAUUUUGAACCGCAUGGUUCAAAAGUGAAAGACGGUCUUGCUGUCACUUAUAGCUGGAUCCGCGCUGCAUUAGCUAGUUGGUAAGGUAACGGCUUACCAAGGCAACGAUGCAUAGCCGACCUGAGAGGGUGAUCGGCCACACUGGAACUGAGACACGGUCCAGACUCCGACGGGAGGCAGCGGUAGGGAAUCUUCCGCGAUGGGCGAGAGCCUGACGGAGGAACGCCGCGUGAGUGAUGAAGGUCUUCGGAUCGUAAAACGCUGUUAUUAGGGAAGAACAUAUGUGUAAGUAACUGUGCACAUCUUGACGGUACCUAAUCAGAAAGCCACGGCUAACUACGUG